rnacentral:lncRNA from 1 species
CCUUCCUCCCCCCUCCCCUCCUCCUCCUCCUCCUCCUCUUCUUCUGUUUACCUCAAGUUUGAAUUUUAUCUGCGCAACAUUAGCUGGAAUGCGGACAUUGAAAAAAAAAAAAAAACACUCUCUCAGCCCGGCAGCAGCUCCGGAGGAGCCAUGUGGCAUCAAGCCACAGCAAAGGGGAAAAAGUGCUCUUAGCAACACAAACAUGGCGAAAUCGCUCUCACAAGCCGGGUUCCCGCGACAGCCCUACCUUCCCCCGCUCGCCUUCCGAACGUCCUGGCCAGGAACCGCAGACCCCUUCCGGGGGACGGCGAGGGGGCCCCGGGCUGAGCGAGGGUGGGCGCACGGGGCGUGCUAAGGGGAAAUUGACUAGCCAGCCGAUCAGCUCCGCCGGCAGCGGAGGGGACGCCUUCUUCACGCCCUGAGAUCGCAAAGGAGAGCAAAAUUCCCAUCCCAAAGUCCUGCGGGACCGGCUUCCCCACCCGACGAACUUACCCCAGGGCUGAACGCACGCUGCUUUAGCUCCUUGCCUCGUUCCUUCCUCCCGGGCGCGACGCGAGGUGAAAAUGAUGCGCACGUAGAUUUGUAGAGCGUAUUCUUGAGAAUUUCCCUGGGAUGAAUCGGGAGGAGCGGUGGAGACUCCGGAGACAGGUGCCGCGCUGGUCUGGGCUGCCGGCUAAAAGUUGUCCUCCGCGCGGUGGGCGGUGGGGUCCCCGGCCAGGGCCAAGGACCCCGGCUCCCUGCCCCCCGGCGUCGCCCACUUGUCACGCCAGGCUGCUGCGUGCACUCGGCUGCAGGGGAGGUGGCGUAGUUUCUCUUCCUCCCACCUCUUCUCACUCACUUGUUUUUGUAGCCGUGGGCUCCCCUAAUGCUUUCCUCUCCACAAUGUUGUUUCAUUAUAUCAUGUCCAUCAUGUGACACCAGAGAGGCCUCUCUAUGGAAACUUAAAGGGGCUCCCACGUGACUGCAGCAGCAACAACAGCAGCAGGACUGGCGGCGGCGGCCGCAGCGGCGUCCGUACCUCCACCCACCGGGAGCCCCUCGAAGCAUCCCGGAGGGGCUUCUGGCGCUGCAGGAGCCCCGAUCGGGGAGCCACAGCAUCCGGGAGCCGUGGUGUCUGUGCGUGCGUGGAGCCUGUGCUCAUGACAUAGGAAGCCGAACAGAAGGAGCGUCCUCAAAUCCUUUCCUACAGUCACCAAACCCACGCUCUGUUAAAAUGACAUUUCGUGGCUCCUACUUUGUUUCCCCGGAGAGCAAUGAGUUUUCUAUCAGGCCUGAUUUAGUUUGACAAAAGUCAAAAAGAAAAACUGGAUUUGUCCCUCUGCGAGUUCAGUCAGAUCGCUGGGAAAACAGAAAUGACAAAACAAUAAUAACAGAAAUAGAACCAGGCAUUUGAUACAUAAUUACCAUCACCACGGCUUUCAAGCUUUCUGGAAUUACGUUCCUCCAGUAACUGUUGAUGAUGCUUGCAGGAGGCAAAAUGCAAUGCAGUUUUUCUCUUCCGCAGCUAUAUUAGGGCUUUGUUGCUGACAACAGUGAAAACUUGUUUGUGUCAGGAAGUGAGGAAACUGUGUGGAUUGGCGGAAUCAAGAAAAACUUCGCAAGAAACUGAAGAGUGGGAUGGAAGAUCUUUUCGUUUGGCCUUGCCUUGACUCUGUCUCUCUCCACCUCAUCAGUUUACUUCAUCAGCCAUGAUGAAUGAGCUCCAUUCCAACCCUUCUAAUUCUAUAAUAUCUCUCCCAAGUUUUACCUUCCUAUCUCAUGCCUAAUUCUUUUCAUCCCUUUCCUCCUACCUCCCUUGCCUCCCAACUCAGCCCCUUUUCUGCCUGGGGGCUCAGCUCGGGCCUCCCCAAAGACUGUACCCCCCACCCUCCCCUGCAGCUACCCCCACCCCCACGCCCUU